rnacentral:misc_RNA from 1 species
AGGCCAGUAGCCUGAGGUACGAGGUGGUGGAAGGUUACACACGUCUCGCUCCUCCUGUAUUGAUGUGAUAAUUCCUGAAGAUAAACAGAAUCAUGUGUAGCAUCGACCCUGAUGAAAUAACUGCCAUGGAGCGUGUCACAGGAGCACUGGACAUCAGUGGAGGAGAGGUGUUGUGCCGGAAGUGUGGGGAGUCGACAGCAGAGGUGGUGCUGAGGGUCAAGGAUGCAUAUUGCAGGCAGUGCUUCUUAUUGUAUUUUGUACACAAGUUUCGUUCCACUAUUGGCAAGUCAAAACAGAUCCAUCCAGGUGACCGCGUGCUUGUGGCCAUAUCAGGAGGACCCUCUUCGGUUGCUCUUCUGCACUUGAUACGAGAAGGCCUGAAUGAAAAUUCUCAUAAAAAGCUGCGUUUUGAACCUGCUUUUCUCUAUGUUGAUGAAAGUUGUAUUAGUGGUGAUCCCAUGAUUGGGCUAGACUAUGUACGGAAGGUUUGCAGUGAGGUCAUAGCCGUGGAUUUCCAGUGUUACGUUACGUCACUACAACAGAUCAUGUUACCAAAUUCACAUCCACCUGUUCCAUUUACCGAGGAAUGGAGUGAGGCAAAUCUUUUGAACAGCAAAAGUGCAACAGAGAAGCUGCGUGAGCUGCUUGCCUCCUGUAAAAGUGUAUCGGCUCAACAAGACCUGCAUGAACAGCUUCGACAUGAAGUUAUUGUGCAGUGUGCUCAGGAUUUACGGUACCAGAAAGUGUUCUUGGCAGAUAAUUCAACUAAAUUAUCCAUCUCAAUUCUGUCAAAUGUGGCAGUGGGAAGGGGCUCUCAGCUUUCAAGGAAAGUGCACUUUAGAUCUCUUCAUCGUGAUGUAGAGGUGUUUCGGCCUAUGAGGGAAAUCCUUGAGAGUGAAGUUCAGCAUUAUGUUCGUUUCCAUAAGCUAAAUGAACUACAGUCGCCAGUCUUUAAACCUAAGGGUACUAGCAUAGCCUCAUGCACGGAAGAGUUUGUUCGUGGCCUGCAAAAGGAGUUUCCUGCAACUGUCCCAACAAUUUUCCGCACUGGAGAUAAAUUGACAUCCAGCUCUUUGGAUAACAGUAAGCACUCGACUCCUGAUAUGAAUAGUGAUUCCACCAGUGAUACUAGAGUAGAUUUGAGCAGUAAACAUUGUGUGUUGUGCUGUUCCCCAGUAGAUACAGGGCAAGGUGAAGCAUCUGCUUUUUGUGCCACUUUGGUGUCUCAGAAGCUAUCAGCUGGUGGCUCCUUGUCACACUCCUUGCAAGAAAAUUUAACAAAUAAAGGCUCGGAUAUCAGCAGAGAGACAUUUACCGAUAUGAUGAAUGGACUUCAUGUAAAUGAUUGUUGUGAAGCGGGAGAAUCCUCUCCUGUGACUGCCGAGUCACUUGCUGAUGGCCAGACCUCAGAAUGCUGUGGUGGUAGAAAAUUGUGUUCCAGUGGAAGUAAAGAACUUGAACAGAUUACCAAGGAUGUGAUGGAACGUCAUCUGUGUUAUGGAUGCCGCAUCGUACUGAGAGAGAUGGUCGAGGUAAAUCGGCUUCCAGUGAAGAUGCGAAAAGUGGCAGCUGAGUCCGAGCGUCGCAUGCACAUGAGGGAACAAAUCCAAGAUUUUCUCCUGUAACAAGCGCCAGUGUAAAUGUAAAUGCUCCAGAAGUGUCGUCCUGUACUGCAGCCGUCGCUGUCGUGCAAGCUUGGGUCGUCCAGAGAGACGGAGGAGAGCAGAGGAGUUACCCAUGAAGUUGGUAGCAUUGCAGGUAUAAUUUCCAAAGUCGUCCAAUUGAACGUGGUCAAAAUGUAGCGAAUACCUGUAAAAAAUGAACGCCUUAAACAACAGACAUUGCUUAUAAAGGGGGAACAUUAAUUUUAGUUGCUUGUAAAAUCUAUUACUAAGUUGUUGAGGUGACUGCUUGUAAAAUACAAGCAGUUACCUUAACUGUAGGUUGUAAAGGUCACAAGUCAAAUAACACUUUAGUGGUUGGAUGAUGCAUUUUAGUGUCUUCCAUAAUUAAACUUAAUCAAUCCAAUGAUACUAAAAUUCGUCACACAAUUUGUAAUUUCCAAAAAUAAAUUCCUUGACCAUUCA